rnacentral:rRNA from 1 species
AUCCCUUGACAUCCUGCGAACUUUCUAGAGAUAGAUUGGUGCCUUCGGGAACGCAGUGACAGGUGCUGCAUGGCUGUCGUCAGCUCGUGUCGUGAGAUGUUGGGUUAAGUCCCGCAACGAGCGCAACCCUUAUCAUUAGUUGCUAACAUUUAGUUGAGAACUCUAAUGAGACUGCCGGUGAUAAACCGGAGGAAGGCGGGGACGACGUCAAGUCAUCAUGGCCCUUAUGGGAUGGGCUACACACGUGCUACAAUGGGGGGUACAAAGAGCAGCCAACUGGCAACAGUGCGCGAAUCUCAUAAAACCUCUCGUAGUCCGGAUCGGAGUCUGCAACUCGACUCCGUGAAGUCGGAAUCGCUAGUAAUCGUGAAUCAGAAUGUCACGGUGAAUACGUUCCCGGGCCU